rnacentral:rRNA from 1 species
ACUCCUACGGGAGGCAGCAGUGGGGAAUAUUGGACAAUGGGCGCAAGCCUGAUCCAGCAAUGCCGCGUGGGUGAAGACGGCCUGCGGGUUGUAAAGCCCUUUAGGCGGGGAAGAACGGCCGGGCGCGAAUAACGCGCGGCUCUGACGUUACCCGCAGAAUAAGCACCGGCUAACUCCGUGCCAGCAGCCGCGGUAAU